UGAGGAAUAUUGCGCAAUGGGCGAAAGCCUGACGCAGCGACGCCGCGUGGAGGAUGAAGGUCUUCGGAUCGUAAACUUCUGUUAAGUGGGAAGAAAUAAGAGGCUCUAAUACAGCCUUAUGAUGACGGUACCACUAGAGAAAGCACCGGCUAACUUCGUGCCAGCAGCCGCGGUAAUACGAAGGGUGCGAACGUUAUUCGGAAUUAUUGGGCGUAAAGGGUGCGCAGGCGGUGCGCUAAGUCAACUGUUAAAUCUCCCGGCCUAACCGGGAAUCAGCGGUAGAUACUGGCGUGCUAGAGGGUGGAAGAGAGAAGUGGAAUUCUUGGAGUAGCGGUAAAAUGCGUAGAUCUCAAGAGGAACACCGAUGGCGAAGGCAGCUUCUUGGUCCACAUCUGACGCUCAAGCACGAAAGCGUGGGGAGCAAACAG
rnacentral:rRNA from 1 species